rnacentral:ncRNA from 2 species
ACUCGCUUGACGGGGUGCCGGUGGAACCGGCUGAGAUCGCCUUACGACACGCAUCGCGCCGAUGUCGUCACGGCGGGGCCCGUUGAACCUGACCUGGUUAGGACCAGCGUAGGGAUCAAGCGACAAGCAGGC